rnacentral:rRNA from 1 species
AUUGAGUUUGAUCCUGGCCAGGAUGAACGCUAGCGGCAGGCCUAAUACAUGCAAGUCGAGGGGCAGCGGGUGUAGCAAUACAUGCCGGCGACCGGCGCACGGGUGCGUAACACGUAUGUAAUCUGCCCAUUACUAGGGGAUAGCCCGAAGAAAUUCGGAUUAAUACCCUAUAACAUAACGAAAAGGCAUCUUUUUGUUAUUAAAGCUCCGGCGAUAAUGGAUGAACAUGCGCGACAUUAGCUAGUUGGUGAGGUAACGGCUCACCAAGGCGACGAUGUCUAGGGGUACUGAGAGGUUUCACCCCCACACUGGUACUGAGACACGGACCAGACUCCUACGGGAGGCAGCAGUAAGGAAUAUUGGACAAUGGAGGCAACUCUGAACCAGCCACGCCGCGUGCAGGAUGAAGGCCCUCUGGGUUGUAAACUGCUUUUGUUAGGGAAAAAACCCCUCGAUGCGUUGAGGGUUGAUGGCACCUAAAGAAUAAGGAUCGGCUAACUCCGUGCCAGCAGCCGCAGUA